ACCAGGAAUGAAGGAAAAAACAAGGUGGAAAAAUUCCCAGCUGCAAUUGGAGCCAAGAGCAGACUGUUUGACUGCCCACAUCUAUGAUCUUGGACAGCCCACUGAUGAUGACUGUCUACGAGGAGCCAUGGCAACAGAAGGGUGGUUCUAGACAAGAUCAUGGCAGCAGCCCUGGUGCAGACUCCCAGUGCAGGCUGUGGUGUCCUGAGGACUGAGUACCUGUGUCUGCAUGACUGCCUUGGAGGGGAGAGAAACAGAAUCCAGGACCUAGCUGGGAACUCUUUGGGUUCUCCAAAGCUCCCACUUUAACCAAAACAUCUGGGAUUGUGUCAGAAGCCAAGAACCUGCAUUUAAUUCAGCCCCUCGCUCGGACACGGUGAACAGGUGCGGGCGCUACAGAUGGGCUUCUGGUAAUGGAGCUGCCUGAGUCAUUCUUGC